CCCAACACAGCGUCCCCAAUCACUAGUACUCUAGUGUGGCAGCGCUUAACUGGCGCCCGAGCAGGGACCCACAUUCUUCACGGAAAUAAAGGGAAAUGGUGACGUGUCAAUAAUUCUAUAAAAAUAACUUAUUAACAAAGCAAGUACAAAUAAAUUGUUCCAAUCGAAUUGGGCAAUUGUUGGCAAAAUUACGAAGUACUUCUGCGAUUUGCAAAGUAAUGAGCAAGUGUUGGUGCACUAGAUAAUUCUAUAACAUAAAAGAAAUCAUGGCUAAAUGGUGGUAUUGGCAAUACCUAGGUUCAAAUCCGUGCCGAGACGAGUCUUAAAACGAAAAUACAAGAAAUUUGCAGGCGGUGGUGGUAUGAGAUUGAUUCUCGUAUCGAGGUUCAAGUCCUUGCCGUAAGACAAAUGUCAUAAAAAAUAAACGUCACAAUUUCCACCUGUGUUGAAUGAUGGGUUUCCGUAUAAAUUAAAAGAAACCUAGUGGUCAAAGUUAAGCUUAAAGCACUAACUAUAUAACAAAAUUAAAAGGCGGUUGUCUGGAAAUCUCUAAUCAACAAGCAAAGCAUAAAUAUGCAAAAAUAAAAACAUGAAUUGCAGAGACCUUCUAUUCGAUCGUGGAAUAACCCUUACCCUAGUAGGUCUUAGAACCAGAGAGGAAUACUUUGGGCUUCCCUUUCGGAAGAGAAUAAGUCUGGCAACAAUAUAUAACAGAAAAAAGUAAAAUAAAUAAAUAAAUGAAACGAAAGGAAGAGAGAGACCAGAUGAUUGUGGAACCACCCUCACCUAAGUAGGUCUUACACCAAAAAGGAUCCUGAGGGCUUCCCAAGCCAUGUAAAAUAAUAAAAACUGUUUGCCGGUUCGGUAACAAAAGAUAAUACAACUAGUAAUUGGUAAUUCAGUAAUUCUAUAACAGACAACGCAAUAACACACGUGGUAAUACACACACGUAAUUCAAUACAAUUAGUAAUUCAAUGAAAUAAUAUAAAAGAAAUAAUAUUCCCGUCAAUUAUUUAAAAAAGGUGUUACGACCAUGUGAGAGCAUUACUAAUAUAUUUAUCUCCACAGGAAGCAAUUCUACGAGACGAUUAUUAAUAUUUUCUUAUAUCCACUGGAAACGGUAAAUAGCAGCAGCUUGGAAACAAUGAAAAGCUGAUUUAAUGUAGAAAAUUAUAUCGAUAACAUAGUAGGCAUCGAAUUGAAUAGUAAGUAAGUUUUCAGACAUUGAAAUAAUUUAGUUCACUUUUGCACCAAGCCGUAACUAAACGAAAAAUUUUGAAAAAUUUACAAAUAAAAAGAAUACAAAAAAAAAAAACAAG